UACGGAGGGUGCAAGCGUUAUCCGGAUUCACUGGGUUUAAAGGGUGCGUAGGUGGGCAGGUAAGUCAGAUGUGAAAUCCCCGAGCUCAACUUGGGAACUGCGUUUGAAACUACAGGACUAGAAUAUGUCAGAGGGGGGUAGAAUUCCACGUGUAGCAGUGAAAUGCGUAGAGAUGUGGAGGAAUACCAAUGGCGAAGGCAGCCCCCUGGGAUAAUAUUGACGCUCAUGCACGAAAGCGUGGGGAGCAAACAGG
rnacentral:rRNA from 1 species